UAAAAUGUUAUCCCUUUCUCACGCGCUCCCUCCCUCUUCAAACCCUCAUUCUAAAUCUGAGAAACCCAUCUUCUCACUCUCACUCUUUCAAAUCUGAGAAACACAAAUGUAUGAAUCUCGCUCGCUCACUCUCUUUAAACCCUUAAAGUGAUUUCAAUUUCGAAGUUCAGUGAUCCAAUCUCAGACUGAUUUCGAUUUCGUAGAGCAAAAUCGAUUUCGUAGAGCAGAAUCGAUUUCAAUUUCAAUUUGGAAGAUACAAUUCAACCUUCUUCAGCUAGGUGAUUUCGAUUUCGAAGCUCUCUCUCUCUCUCUCUCUCUCGAUUUCGAAGCUCCACCACCACCACCACCAUCACCAUCUGCAUCGUCUACUAAGGGAUAUUUUUUUUUUUCCGUUGGUUUAUGCUCUCGGAUUUGGAUUACCUUUAUCAUACUAUGGAUUUUUUGCAUCUAGUCUGUUGGGGCACCAUAUUCUUGUGAUAUCAGCUAUGAACCAUUUCUUGGGCCUGAGGUUUGUUCCUAUUUUCUUUUCAAUUUUUGCUUCUUUUGAACAUCACAAUGUAUGUUAGUGAAAUGAUGACUCCAACACAUCUCCGAAUCUGAUAAACGUAUUUUGGUUUGAUUUGAAAGUCAUGAUAAAAGUACUAUAUGGUUUUAUUCUUGUUUUAUUUUUAGAGAUGGUUCUUUUUUUUU